UACGGGGGGGGCAAGCUUUGUUCGGAAUUACUGGGCGUAAAGGGCUCGUAGGUGGCCAACUAAGUCGGACGUGAAAUCCCUCGGCUUAACCGGGGAACUGCGUCCGAUACUGGUUGGCUUGAGUUUGGGAGAGGGAUGCGGAAUUCCAGGUGUAGCGGUGAAAUGCGUAGAUAUCUGGAGGAACACCGGUGGCGAAGGCGACUUCCUGGCCUGUUCUUGACGCUGAGGCGCGAAAGCUAGGGGAGCAAACGGG
rnacentral:rRNA from 1 species